AGGGGAGACGGAGGGGGAAAGAGUCUGAGCAGCAGAAGAGCUACAGAAGAAAAGGAAAUGAUACAUCUGCUCACAACUCUGAACUUGCAAAGAAACUCCCUCAAACUAGCCAACGGGGAUGAAGAAAAAGACCCCAAAUCAGCUACCUGUGGAUACUUUCGAAAAGAAAGGGAUGUAGCAAAAUCCUGGCAGAACACACAGGCCCUGGAGAGAUGAAUAAAACACUCAAAUGUAGCACCAGAUCGACCACUCAAGACCUAACAUGCUUCCUCAGUCAUGGAUGCACGCUUCCUCAGUCAUGGAUGCACGCAGGACAAACCCACAUAUUAACAACAAUACCAGCAUGGAUGGCUCCAAACACAAUAAACAAGUACACCAAAAGAUACAGCAUUUGUGUAACAUCACUAAGGAAAACAAAAACGGGCCAAAAGAGACUUGAACUUCUCCCCCCAGGAAAAAAGGAAAAGCAUUUAUGACAUCUCCUUAGAGAGGCAUCACUUUGCUUUCUCAUCAACAGACAGAAAUAGCACACCCUACGGUGUGCAAAGUCCACACGAGCCAUUCAAAUCCACAUUAAGAAACCGGUGUCUGCCUCGAGCAUCUGACAGCGUGCGCCACCAACCUGAACCGUGUCCCUUGGCCAGGCGUGCAACCUCAGCCCUCCAGUCAGAGACUCGAUGCUGGGAAACAGGUAGCACGACAAAUGGGCACAAAAUCCUGCCAAGACAAUGGAUUCCAGGGCCAGAAAGAAGCCAAUGGUAGAUAUCGUGAAUUCCUAUCUAGCGAGUAUUUCGUCAAGUUUGCCCGUUGAAAAGAAAAAUAAUUGGUCCGAGAGCUGUAAUUGUAUUAUGUUUAAUAUUCAUGGUUGGGUUUGGAGGGCUGUUCCAACACUCCCUCUCUCCAGCCCCUCUCUAAUGAAAAUCACACCCUAGGAGUCGGCUCUAGCCCGCCAAUUAAAAUAAAAGACACCAGAACCUUCCAAAGACUCCAGCAGAGGAGCAUCCAUCUGAUGGGCAGGAUAACGUGCUGGAACUGAGAGGGAGGCACGCUCUGGUUGGUCCUGUGCUAAGAGCUUUGAAUAACUUAUUAUAACACUUGCAGAUGGAGCAAACACAACAUUUACGCCCCGCUCACUCUGUCUCUGACAGCGGGCAACAGCACACCACCACUUCAUAUUUGUCGGGGCCAGAAGUAAGCUCUGAGACUCUUUAGCUGGGGGUCAUCACUCAGGGCUCGCCUCCCAUUGGUUUGGAUUAAAUAGUCCCGAAUGAUAAUAAGGCAAACUGUAUUUGAUGGCAAAGAUGAAGCCUAUUCAGAUUCUGGCUCGGCAGUUUCAUUUAGAAGGACCUGACCUGAAGCUAUAUUUCUAUCCAGAAAAUAGAGGGAACAAAUAAGAAAACAUUAACAUGGAGCCUUUUUUAUUAAAGACCAAAUUAAUCAGAAAAGCUAGUGUUUUUUGUUGUUGUUGUUGUUUUUCCAAGAAACCAAUACAUGAUUCUGUUUUGUCCUGUUGAACCUGGGCUAUUAGAGAAUCUUAAAUAUAACCUUAUAUGCCAGAAUCAAGAGCUUUAUCUCUGCAGCACUGACGAUGGCCUCUGGUGAAGGAUUCACUGUCAACAGCAACUAGAAGAACAUACAAUUUUAAGUAGAACGAGCCAGUUUAAUUUUGCAACUCUAGGCUCUGCUCAGAGCUCUGCAUUUUAAAGCUGUAUCUCUGAGGUUUGGAGUUCCCUCGGACUGCUCACUUGACCUUCCUGACCGCUUCCUCAGUGGGGCAGCACUAGAUGGCCUUGGAAAGCUCUGUGAACAUCUUGCGAUUCCCAGCAAGCCAGUCCGCCGUGAUGCCAGUGGUGGGCAAUAAUGGUGAUGUAUGUACCCCGCCCCCAAAAAUAAGGCACAUGAUCCCACAUUGGAAACGUGGAAAUAUUUAGCUUAUUUUAAUAUCCUUUUAGAUUUUAAAUUUCAAUCAGAUGGCUAUACCUAGAAUAACCGCUCUAUUUUAUGGUCAACUGAUUUUCAACAAUGGUGCUGAACAGUCCGACAGGGCAAAGAAUGGUCUUUCAACAGAUAGUGCUGGACAUCCAUGCAAAAGAAUGAGGGUGGGCUCCCACCUCACAGCAUAUACAAAAAUCAACUGUAACUGCAUCGGGACCUCAAUGGAACAGCCAAAACUAGAAAAAUUCUUGGAAGAAAACUUAUAUUAAAGCAGAUCUUCAUGACCCUGGGCUAGGAAAUGGCCUCUUCAGUGUGACACCAACAGCACUAGUGAAAGAACAAAACAGAUAAACUGAACUUCAUCAAAAUUAAAAACUUCCGUGCUUCAAAAGACACCCCCGAGAGAAUGAAGGGACAGCCCACCGAUUGGGAAAAAAAUACUUACAAAUCAUAUCUGAUAAAGGCUUGGCAUCUCGAAUCUUAUGAAGGACUCUUACAACUCAAUAAAUAAAAAGACAAGUAACCCAGCUAAAAAAACAGGCCAAGGAUCUGAAUGGACACUUAUCCAACGAGGCCAAAAGCACAUGAAAGAUUGUUCAACACCAUUAGCCACCAGGAGAAUGAAAAUCAAAACCACGAUGAGCUGCCACUUCACACCUGUUACGCGAUAAUUAGAGACAAGAGCGAGGACUGGCGAGGAUGUGAAGCAAUGAGAACCGUCGCCCACUGCCGGUGGGACUGUCCCAUGGUGCAGCCACUUUUUGAAAAGAGUCUGGAAGUUCCUGAAAAGGUUCAACAUUGAGUUACCAUAUAAGCCAGCAAUUCCACUCCUCAGUUUAUAGCCAAGAAAACUGAAAACCUACGUCUACACAGACAUUUGUACUUGAAUGAUACAGCAGUAUUUGUAAUAGUCAAAAAGUGGAAACAACCCAAGUGUUCAUUAACUGAUGAACGAAUAAAUGUGGUAUAUUCAUACGAUGGCAUACUAUUUGGCCAUAGAAGGAAUGAAGUAGUGAUUCAUGCUACAAUGCAAGUUUAACUUGGAAACGUUAUGUUAAGUGGAAGAAGCCAGUCAUGAAAGGUCGCAUUUUAUAGGAUUCCGUUUAUAUGAAAUGUCCAAAACAGAUUCAUAGAGACAGAAAAUAGAACAGUGGUUGCCUAGAGCUGGAGGAGCCAGAGGGAAAUGCGGUGUGGCUGCUAGUGGGUACAGGUUUCUUUUUAGGGUCAUGGUGAUGGCUGCAUGACCUUGUGAAUGUCAUACAAUUUAACUUUGUGGAUUGUACAAUUUAAAUUGGCAAAUUGUAGGCAUGUGAAUUUAUCUCAAUAAAGCUAAAAAUUUAAAAACUCAUCUUGAGAUUCCAGGGCGAGAAAGGCAGUGGGAACUGUUGGUGCAGUGACGGUCGCCUUGGCAGCCCUCUCCCAUCCUGACAUAGGCCCUUAGCACCAACUCCCACUUAGAUUCUCCCUGCAGAGCACUGAUGAGCUGCUCUGUUCCAGAUCCCCGAUUUCAUGGUGGGGAAUGAGCAGGUCGCUGAUGAGGAGACUGAGAACAGACAGAAUAGAAAGGGGCCUCCAGUAACACAGCCCCCAACUGCCAACUACUCAUUAUUUAAAUCAUUGAAGAGAAAGUGGGAGUUCUGGUUCUGGCCAAGAAGAAGCCUGUUACUGCCUGUCUCCUGCUGGCCACAACCAAAUCCUCUGGACGAAACACAAAGCAAAUACCUGAGGACACUGAAGAGUCAACUCCGGGAUGAUGGGCUGUGGAGGAAGUGGCCGCAUGGGGAACGGGUUUCCACUUUUUUCCCCUCUUCUCUCAGCCAUGCCCCAAAUAUGAGCUCCAAGAGUUGUGUGGUGGUGUAAGAGCUCAAACUCCGAAAGAAACACCACCUUUCUGAAGAACCAAGGGAAAGGGCCCUUCCAGUCCCAAGAAUGUGUGUGUUGGGGAAGGGAUGUCUUUGUGGGGAUUUCCCCUGCUCUUUUCUCUUUUGCUUUGUUACCACAGAGCUGCAGGGUGGUAGUGAAACAGGCAGGGAAAACAGAGAAACCCUCACUUCUGGUCAGAGGCCCAAGAGAAAGGAGCUCCUGAAGGCUGGAAAGUGGUGGGACGAAGAGAGGAAGAAACUGAAGGAGAGCCUAUUACCGUCUGUACCAGACCCCACACAGCUCCCAGGCUUAUCUCCGAGCUGUGCGCAGGACGGCUCCAACGCGGUAGAGCAACGGCUCUGAGAUUUCAGCUCACACUGCCAUCUUCAGACGACCUGAAUAGACCUUUUUCCUGAAGACACAGAGAUGGCCAAUAGACACAUGAAAAGAUGCUCAAUAGACACAUGAAAAGAUGCUCAAUACCACUUAUCAGGGAAAUGCAAAU